GUUGGGCUGGAUGCCAGGCACUUCCCUCCCUUCCAUCCAAGAGACAAGCAAGGUAAAGACAAGAUUCUAUAAACUACGGUCCAAAACAUGAGGGAUCUUUCUUAAUGGCAACAAUGCCCACACAGCAGAAGGCUGGGGAGAGGGCAGCUAUUCUAUGACAUCACAAGGAAGAUGAGUGGCUCUGCUCUCUUCACAAUCACUAGGGAAAGCAUGGCUCUGAGGACACUGUGACCUUGCUGGUCCUAUACCAAUUUCUCCCUGGGUGGGAUCAGGCCCAGGGACAAGCCUCAGUUACUUGGGGUUUUAAGGUUGCCAGCAACAGAAAACAACUCUAGCCAGUGAUACCUGUACAACCACAGGGAGAAAUGAACUACCUACCUUGGAAGGACAGAAACCAGGGGCCAUUUGGGAUGGCCUUAGCUAGGCAAUGGAAUAUCACUAAGUAGAAGAGGAUAGAGAGCCUGACAGGGCCAAUUACUCCGUGGCUUCCCCCUGGUCAUCCCCUGAAGACUCCCCACUUGACCUUGAACUGUUCACAGAGGAUGAUGCAGACUUGAGAACGAACUCCUUCCCAAGUCCCCAGCCAUUUGUGAUUGUCCACAAAUGAAGCACCUUGUUCAGCAGCGCUGGUUGCUAGGCCCCUCGUCGGGCCUGGUGUGAGGCCCAGAGGCCUGGGCACCUCACUGCAGCCUGCCCACUUCAUCCCUCCAGCUCCUCCCUGCAUUCCCUCAGUAACCAGCUCCACACUCUGAGUCCUUCCUGUCUGAGACACACAGCUUCAGCAAAGGUCAGAUUUCUGAAGCUGGUGAAGACUGGUCGGCAUUUCCAUGUGAAAUGUUACAACUUUACAAAUUUUGUUUUUUAUUUAAAUCUACAUGCAGAAAUUGAAACAUGGUAAAAGAAAAAUGCAAAAUAGCUGGAAAAAAAGAUGUAAUCAAGUUGUAGCCUACAGAUGUGCCUUUAACUAAAUUUACUAUGCUUAUUGGAAAGCAAACGAAAGACAACUAUCCUAAUAAAUUAACAGAUUGUCAAAAACAGACUAAGAACUCUCAUUUCUAUUCAGUGGGGGGAGGGGCAAAACAAAACAACAGCAAAGGCAAAAACAAAAGCUUUGCUUGUUCCUGUGUUUUGUUUAGAGGCAGAGGCUGUAAGCCCAUGAAGGUCAACAAAACAUUCUGAUCUACUUCUUGUCCUUUUUCUGUGACAUGCUGGUGAUACUUACAAUGGGCUCAGCUAUAUCCCUGAUCUUAGGCUGGUAUCAGGCUUUUAUAAGCCACUUGACUAACUGCUCUCUGUAUCCUAACAAUCUUCACAUUUUUCUUUCAUUCUUAUUGGCAAAUUUCUAUCACUGACUGAUGGAUAAAACAGAUUUUUCUCCCUCAUUCCUUGUUCCUCUUGAAACAAAUUCCUAAACAAAAGCCUUCCUAGUGGAUUCUCUGGUAUUUGGGUAUCUUUCAUCAUUUUGUUGUCCUGGCUGUAAGUUUUUACUAGAAGGUUUUACUGCUCUAUAUUUUCUUACUGUAGACCUGGAGCCCCCAAAUAUAUCUUCUUCCAACAUGGGAUGUUCACUCAAAUCAAGUUUAAAACUCAAGUUCAUUUCUGCUACCCUUCUCCACUGUUGAUGGGAGUGUAGAUUGGUGCAACCACUGUGGAAAUCAGUGUGGAGAUUCCUCAAAAAACUAGGAUUAGAGGCCCCAUUUGACCCAGCUAUUUCCUUUCUGAGUAUCUUUCCAACAGAACGAAAAGCAAGAUACCACAGCAAUAUAUGCACACCCAUGUUUAUAGA